rnacentral:rRNA from 1 species
GAUGAACGCUGGCGGCGUGCCUAAUACAUGCAAGUCGAGCGAACGGACGAGAAGCUUGCUUCUCUGAUGUUAGCGGCGGACGGGUGAGUAACACGUGGAUAACCUACCUAUAAGACUGGGAUAACUUCGGGAAACCGGAGCUAAUACCGGAUAAUAUUUUGAACCGCAUGGUUCAAAAGUGAAAGACGGUCUUGCUGUCACUUAUAGAUGGAUCCGCGCUGCAUUAGCUAGUUGGUGAGGUAACGGCUUACCAAGGCAACGAUGCAUAGCCGACCUGAGAGGGUGAUCGGCCACACUGGAACUGAGACACGGUCCAGACUCCUACGGGAGGCAGCAGUAGGGAAUCUUCCGCAAUGGGCGAAAGCCUGACGGAGCAACGCCGCGUGAGUGAUGAAGGUCUUCGGAUCGUAAAACUCUGUUAUUAGGGAAGAACAUAUGUGUAAGUAACUGUGCACAUCUUGACGGUACCUAAUCAGAAAGCCACGGCUAACUACGUGCCAGCAGCCGCGGUAAUACGUAGGUGGCAAGCGUUAUCCGGAAUUAUUGGGCGUAAAGCGCGCGUAGGCGGUUUUUUAAGUCUGAUGUGAAAGCCCACGGCUCAACCGUGGAGGGUCAUUGGAAACUGGAAAACUUGAGUGCAGAAGAGGAAAGUGGAAUUCCAUGUGUAGCGGUGAAAUGCGCAGAGAUAUGGAGGAACACCAGUGGCGAAGGCGACUUUCUGGUCUGUAACUGACGCUGAUGUGCGAAAGCGUGGGGAUCAAACAGGAUUAGAUACCCUGGUAGUCCACGCCGUAAACGAUGAGUGCUAAGUGUUAGGGGGUUUCCGCCCCUUAGUGCUGCAGCUAACGCAUUAAGCACUCCGCCUGGGGAGUACGACCGCAAGGUUGAAACUCAAAGGAAUUGACGGGGACCCGCACAAGCGGUGGAGCAUGUGGUUUAAUUCGAAGCAACGCGAAGAACCUUACCAAAUCUUGACAUCCUUUGACAACUCUAGAGAUAGAGCUUUCCCCUUCGGGGGACAAAGUGACAGGUGGUGCAUGGUUGUCGUCAGCUCGUGUCGUGAGAUGUUGGGUUAAGUCCCGCAACGAGCGCAACCCUUAAGCUUAGUUGCCAUCAUUAAGUUGGGCACUCUAAGUUGACUGCCGGUGACAAACCGGAGGAAGGUGGGGAUGACGUCAAAUCAUCAUGCCCCUUAUGAUUUGGGCUACACACGUGCUACAAUGGACAAUACAAAGGGCAGCGAAACCGCGAGGUCAAGCAAAUCCCAUAAAGUUGUUCUCAGUUCGGAUUGUAGUCUGCAACUCGACUACAUGAAGCUGGAAUCGCUAGUAAUCGUAGAUCAGCAUGCUACGGUGAAUACGUUCCCGGGUCU